GGUCAAGUUAUUAAGGGCGCAGGGCGGAUGCCUUGGCACUAAGAGCCGAUGAAGGACGCGAUAAGCUGCGAUAAGCUUCGGGGAGUUGCACGUAAACUUUGAUCCGAAGAUUUCCGAAUGAGGAAACUCACUUAGAGUAAUGUCUAAGUAUCAUUAAGUGAAUACAUAGCUUAAUGAGGGGAACCCGGGGAACUGAAACAUCUAAGUACCCGGAGGAAAAGAAAGAAAUUCGAUUCCGUAAGUAGCGGCGAGCGAACGCGGAAUAGCCCAAACCAGUGAAGUUUUCUUCGCUGGGGUUGCGGACACAUCAUCAACGAAGAGGUAUCGUAAACGAAGAGAGUUGGAAAGCUCCGCUAUAAAGUGUAAUAGCCACGUAGUUGAAACGAGAAGACUUUAGAUGUGAUCCAGAGUACCACGGGACACGUGAAACCCUGUGGGAAGCAGGAGGGACCAUCCUCCAAGGCUAAAUACUACUUAGUGACCGAUAGCGCAUAGUACCGUGAGGGAAAGGUGAAAAGAACCCCGGGAGGGGAGUGAAAUAGAACCUGAAACCCUGUGCUUACAAGCUGUGGGAGCACUUUAUAUGUGUGACCGCGUACUUUUUGUAGAACGGGCCAACGAGUUACGACAGUAAGCAAGGUUAAGUACUUAAGGUAUGGAGCCGUAGUGAAAGCGAGUCUUAAAUGGGCGUUAAGUUUUCUGUCGUAGACCCGAAACCGGGCGACCUACCCAUGAGCAGGAUGAAGCGAAAGUAAAAUUUCGUGGAGGUCCGAACCCACGAGCGUUGAAAAGCUCGGGGAUGACUUGUGGGUAGCGGUGAAAUUCCAAUCGAGCCCGGAGAUAGCUGGUUCUCCCCGAAAUAGCUUUAGGGCUAGCCUCAAGGUUGAGAAAUACGGAGGUAGAGCACUGAAUAUCCUAGGGGGCAUUGCGCUUACCGAAGAUUAUCAAACUCCGAAUGCCGUUAUUUUAUACUUGGGAGUCAGACUGUGGGUAAUAAGAUUCAUAGUCGAGAGGGCAACAGCCCAGAUCGUCAGCUAAGGUCCCUAAAUGUAAGUUAAGUGGUAAAGGAUGUGGGAUUGCAUAGACAACCAGGAUGUUGGCUUAGAAGCAGCCACUCAUUUAAAGAGUGCGUAAUAGCUCACUGGUCGAGUGAUCCUGCGCCGAAGAUUACCGGGGCUAAAACUUACUACCGAAGCUACGAUAUCAUUUAUGAUAGGUAGGGGAGCUUCCUAUGCAGGCUGAAGCAUGACCGUAAGGACAUGUGGACAGUAUAGGAGUGAGAAUGUUGGCAUGAGUAGCGAGACGUGGGUGAGAAUCCCACGGGCCGUAAACCCAAGGUUUCCAGGGGAAGGUUCGUCCGCCCUGGGUUAGUCGGGACCUAAGCCGAGGCCGAAAGGCGUAGGUGAUGGACAACA
rnacentral:rRNA from 1 species